rnacentral:rRNA from 1 species
UACGGGGAGGGCAAGCGUUUGUUCGGAGUUACUGGGCGUAAAGGGUUCGUAGGUGGCUGGCUAAGUCAGACGUGAAAUCCCUCAGCUCAACUGGGGAACUGCGUCUGAGACUGGUCAGCUUGAGUGCAGGAGAGGAACGCGGAAUUCCAGGUGUAGCGGUGAAAUGCGUAGAUAUCUGAAGGAACACCGGUGGCGAAGGCGGCGUUCUGGACUGCAACUGACACUGAGGAACGAAAGCCAGGGGAGCAAACGGG